GGGCCUCUAACUCAACUGGCUAGAGUUCCGGGCUUUUAACCCGGCGGUGUGGGUUCGAGUCCCACGGGGCCCA
rnacentral:tRNA from 1 species